UCCAGAGGUGGCAAGCGUUGUUCGGAAUUACUGGGCGUAAAGGGCGCGUAGGCGGCCUUAUAAGUCUCGUGUGAAAGCCCUCGGCUUAACUGAGGAUCUGCACGGGAUACUGUAAGGCUUGAGUUCGGGAGAGGAAAGCGGAAUUCCGGGUGUAGCGGUGAAAUGCGUAGAUAUCCGGAGGAACACCAGUGGCGAAGGCGGCUUUCUGGACCGACACUGACGCUGAGGCGCGAAAGCUAGGGGAGCAAACGGG
rnacentral:rRNA from 1 species